UAAGACGGAGGAUGCAAGUGUUAUCCGGAAUUACUGGGCGUAAAGCGUCUGUAGGUGGUUGAAUAAGUCGGCUGUUAAAUCUUGAGGCUCAACUUCAAAAUCGCAGUCGAAACUAUCCGACUAGAGUAUAGUAGAGGUAAAGGGAAUUUCCAUUGGAGCGGUGAAAUGCGUAGAUAUUGGAGAGAGCACCGAUUGCGAAGGCACUUUACUGGGCUAUUACUGACACUCAGAGACGAAAGCUAGGGUAGCAAAUGGGAUUAGAUACCCCAGUAGUCCUAGCUGUAAACAAUGGAUACUAGAUGUUGAACAGAUCGACCUGUGCAGUAUUAAAGCUAACGCGUUAAGUAUCCCGCCUGGGAAGUAUGCUCGCAAGAGUG
rnacentral:rRNA from 1 species